GGCCAGUUAGCUCAGUUGGCUAGAGCGUGGUACCGAUAACACCAAGGUCUGAGGUUCAAUUCCUGCACUGGCCA